AUUUGAAGGAAGUCCAGGGGCAGGAGGGAUUUGAAGGUAAAAUAUCAGGGGCGGAGCUUUCGGUGCUUUGUACAUCGAUGCCUUCUGAACUUAAAGGCAAAGUAAUAAACUAAACAAAUCGCCGGUUGCUGCUUCAGAGAGCCGCUCGCCUCCGUUAUUUCUGGUCAUUUUGGACAGAAAACGCUUCACGGGGUGCACAGGGUUUGCUGAGAAGAUGCUUAUUUUCCCACGACUUGCUUCGUAUCUGAUAUCUAUGUGACUGAUUUUUGAUAGAUCAGACAAAAGUCACGUUAUUGACCAAAAUAGCACAGUUCUUUGGUUGUUUUUGGCUAGAUGUAUAUAGCCUUUAGUCGAUGCGUUGCAGCCUAUGACGAUGAUGUGUUGUAACGGUAUGGAAACUAUGAUGUCAUUUCUGUGUACGGGCAACCCCAACAGCUCCUCCAGCAGAAGCUGCUUCCUCCUGUCUUCCAGAUGCUGCUGACCAAGUUGUCCACCAUCUGACAGGCGGUUCUGGCUGAUGACAUGUCGCCAUAGCUGAUAGAAACCCAGAAGGAAUAUCAUCCCCAAUGAUACUGCUAAUAUUAGUAACUGUACUGAUGAGGAACAGGAGGGCUUAUCCAUUGUCCCUGAACUGCUUGAAGUGUAGAGUCAAAAUGACAGUGCCACUUUGUUACCGCUAGUCACAUGUUUGAGAAGAUGUUCUGCAAAAAUAAUAACAAUACAGAGAUGGUCUUGCUCUUCAAUGAGGUUCUGACAAUCAUAUGUUGGAAUCCAUUAUAAAGAAAACCUACAGUAGUAGCACUUUGUGUAGGUAGUAACCUGUUUGUUGAACGCCAGUGAUUCUAAGAACAAAAAUAACUGUUACCUGUAGGACAAUGUCUCUAUCACAGGUCACCAAGGGUACAACAAGGCAUAUCCUUAAUAAAAUAUAUUUUAAUGGCUAA